rnacentral:lncRNA from 1 species
GGCCAACUUGAAAAACGCCUCUUGGCUAGUGCUCCAUAUCAGCCCUUAUCAUGGUUCCGAUUCAUUGACGAUAUUGAUUUCAAAUGGACAGAUUCACAAGAACAUCUUAAUGAAUUUCUAGAACACUGUAACUCUUUCCACCAUUCAAUAAAAUUUACAUAUGAAUCAUCUAUGGAGAAAAUAAACUUCCUCGAUACUACGAGUUACAUCAAGAACGGAACCAUUAUAACGGACCUCCAUACCAAACAAACGGAC